CCUACGGGAGGCAGCAGUAGGGAAUGUUCGUCAAUGGGCGCAAGCCUGAACGAGCGAUGCCGCGUGAGUGAAGAAGGCCUUCGGGUCGUAAAGCUCUGUUGAGGGGGAAAAAAGGCAGCAUCAGGAAAUGGGUGCAGACUGAUGGUGCCACGCCAGAAAGACACGGCUAACUCCGUGCCAGCAGCCGCGGUAAUACGUAGGUGGCGAGCUUUAUCCGGAAUGAUUGGGGUUAAAGGGUGCGCAGGCGGAUUUUUAAGUCAGCGGUCAAAUCGUGGGGCUCAACCCCAUCCAGCCGUUGAAACUUGGGAUCUAGAGUGUGCGAGAGGUAUGCCGCAUGCGUGGUGUAGCGGUGAAAUGCAUAGAUAUCACGCAGAACCCCGAUUGCGACGGCAGCCUACCGGUGCACAACUGACGCUCCGGCACGAACGCGUGGGUAUCGCACAGGAUUAGAUACCCUAGUAGUC
rnacentral:rRNA from 1 species